rnacentral:rRNA from 1 species
UACGAAGGUCCCAAGCGUUAUCCGGAUUUAUUGGGUUUAAAGGGUGCGUAGGCGGGCUAUUAAGUCAGUGGUGAAAUCUCCGAGCCUAACUCGGAAAUUGCCAUUGAUACUGAUGGUCUUGAGUACAUUUGAAGUGGGCGGAAUGUGUCAUGUAGCGGUGAAAUGCUUAGAUAUGACACAGAACACCGAUUGCGUAGGCAGCUCACUAAACUGUAACUGACGCUGAGGCACGAAAGUGUGGGGAGCAAACAGG